CCCACCUAUGUAACUAGGUCAUUACGGGCCCCACCUAUGUAACUAGGUCAUUACGGGCCCCGCCUAUGUAACUAGGUCAUUACGGGCCCCACCUAUGUAACUAGGUCAUUAUGGGCCCCACCUAUGUAACUAGGUCAUUACGGGCCCCACCUAUGUAACUAGGUCAUUAUGGGCCCCACCUAUGUAACUAGGUCAUUAUGGGCCCCACCUAUGUAACUAGGUCAUUACGGGCCCCGCCUAUGUAACUAGGUCAUUACAGGCCCCGCCUAUGUAACUAGGUCAUUACGGGCCCCACCUAUGUAAGUAAGUCAUUACGGGCCCCACCUAUGUAACUAG
ensembl:lncRNA